CCCAAGAAACAUCAAACCCUCCCAAGAAACCCCAUUUUGCCGAAUACACCAAUCCAUCACCAUCUCCAUCAAAAUUCUCAUCAAAGUUUAAGAUUUUUGGAGGCAAAACAUGGAUUGAUUAAAGAUCCGGCAAGGAACGCAGCUAAUGGACAAGGAGCACCUUAAACUAGACGGCAGUUAAUCGAUCGAGGUUUUAGGAGUAGCAAGCGUCUUUCCUUUCAGGUAAAAUGUUUUGACGUGGCGGACUUCUAUCCUUGUUCAGAAGUCCGUAUUUUGGAAAUAUGUAAAUAAGGAGACGUCGAUCGAUAGUGCUGCAGUAGAUGUCAAGUCCUAGUUAUGAAUAUGGCUUUGCUGAACGGUUUUAAUGUUUUAUCCAAACUCUGAUAUGUAAAUAAAGUUUUAAACUGCGCUUUUAA